UAGUUUCUGUAGCACCGAACUCCUUUAGGUUUCUGAUAGGAUUUCUUUCCCUCUGUCGUUUAGCUGAAGUCCGGCCAACUCUUUCCUUAUUUAGAAAUUUCUAUACCUUCAAGCGUCACCCUUCGAUAAAGGACUGGUGGUACUUCUCCCCCCAGUUCGGUAGAAAGAGAUUGCUGAAAGGUGCCCCCUCUUCUAUCUACAAC
rnacentral:lncRNA from 1 species